rnacentral:lncRNA from 1 species
CACAUCAACAAUUAGGAGUUUUAAGCAACAUGGGCGCAGUUGUUGAAGAGUUUCUUUUGUCCUUUUGCUUAGGACAUAAUCCCUGAGACACAACCGAGUGCCCUAGAAUAUGACCUGUAGCUUGAUGAUCAGCAGAACUAUGUCCAAGGCAGGUCCUUUCAUCUGACCUCAUGAAGCCUCUUCACCUGACCAGUGGGAUGCCACAGGAAGGUUUUGAAAUUGAAUCAGCUAUUGGACCUGGCAGUGCGGCACGUUGGACCAAGGUCUGUACGUGAACCUGACGGAAAGGAGCGUGCAGGAUGCUCAGAAGCUCAUCCUGAUGCAUGAGGUGGUGCAGCCAGUGACUGCAGUGCCCUCCUUCAUGGAGGACAACAGCCGCUUUUCGCACAUGGCCAUCGACGUGGUGCAGGGCAGGGACGUGCUCGUCCACAUCAUCUAUUAGGCCACAGCCCCACCACCAGUUAUGCAGGAAUGUGUGAAUUUGGGCGCCAGUGAAGAGAGGGGUUGACUUUGAGCCAGUUUUUACUGAGUGAUCCGAUGCUGGACACCCCUGCACUCUGACACUUGGACCUCUUCCUGAAGCAUCACCUGUGGGAAUGGCCUCCAGAUGUGCCAGGUGUGUGUGGAGCAGAACCAUGAGGAAAGGAAGAUCCAUCCUGCACUGUGAGUUUAGCAUUUUCUUCAUUGUCUCCUGUUCAUCCCAUUGUCUGUCCACAUACCGCAUGGCCCACGCCACAUCUGCCUCCUUUCUGCACAACCACUUGGAAUACGAAAAGCCCCUCUACGCGGAGAAUGCCCAUGAGUUCAACCUCUGGUGCCAGGAUGGAGAGUGGAAAGAAUCAGGCUCUUCUCCCCAGAAUGCUGUGGCUGACAAAGAAAAUAUAGGAACAGGCGGUGAGGAGAAAGCUGGUCAGAGCAAAUAUCACACCGAAACAGGUCUGUUGAAAGCCCAAGGAGGUAAGUUUUGAUUUGCUUUAGCCUCAAUUUUUUUUCUUUUUUUCUGGAAAGUAUCAGGUGAAUUUGCCUCCAGCCAGCAAUAUGUGAACCGGCUAAAUUUUACAAAGCGUACCUAGUAGGAAAGAGUUGUCCAUUUUUUCUAAUCAUAAACUGCCAACAGCCUCCCGUCGCUCUUUUUAGAAAUUUGGAUUCUCAAAUUAAGCUCAGGCCUUCCCAACAAUCAUUAAUUUUCUUUAUAUACCUGGAAAAACAAAAAGCAGAUAUAUUUCUUACAUUGAAGAUAGUUUAAAUAUUGUGGACAAGUUUAGUUUCAAGCCUUGGUACCCAACUUCUGGCAUUAAUAGUAUUUCAAUAGUCGUGACUAAUUAAUGGCAUAGGAAUAAGUACGUUUCAUCAUUUAAGAUUUUUUUCAAGGCUAUUUUAACAGAUUUUUUUAAAAAAGCCUUUCCCAAAAAACAUCCUUGCAUACAUAGUAUUUAACUGGAAAUGCAUUGACUGUUGGCUGAGUGGCAGUGAUGCUGUCCAGAGCUGCCACAUGGUAUCUGGUGACCAUUUGUCCUGGCCCACACGGGCCUCUGAGGACGUCCCAAGGAGAAAGGAGGAAGCUGUGGGAGGAGGGCAGGGAGGGACGGGUACCUUUCAAACUCAAGUUAAAAUGCCUUCAAGGGUUUACGGACUUUUUGCAAAUUGUUUUAUAAUCAGUUUUAUUUGUUUCAAUUGCACAAAAUAGCAACUUGACAUUUUAUGUUUGUGGAUCUCAAAUAUACUUCAGCAUUACAGAAGCAAUAAUAAAUGGAAUAUGUUGACUACUCUGUGAGAAAUA